GAUGAACGCUGGCGGCGUGCCUAAUACAUGCAAGUCGAGCGAAUGGAUUAAGAGCUUGCUCUUAUGAAGUUAGCGGCGGACGGGUGAGUAACACGUGGGUAACCUGCCCAUAAGGCUGGGAUAACUCCGGGAAACCGGGGCUAAUACCGGAUAACAUUUUGAACCGCAUGGUUCGAAAUUGAAAGGCGGCUCGGCUGUCACUUAUGGAUGGACCCGCGUCGGAUUAGCUAGUUGGUGAGGUAACGGCUCACCAAGGCAACGAUGCGUAGCCGACCUGCGAGGGUGAUCGGCCACACUGGGACUGAGACACGGCCCAGACUCCUACGGGAGGCAGCAGUAGGGAAUCUUCCGCAAUGGACGAAAGUCUGACGGAGCAACGCCGCGUGAGUGAUGAAGGCUUUCGGGUCGUAAAACUCUGUUGUUAGGGAAGAACAAGUGCUAGUUGAAUAAGCUGACACCUUGACGGUACCUAACCAGAAAGCCACGGCUAACUACGUGCCAGCCGCCGCAGUAA
rnacentral:rRNA from 1 species